UACGGAGGGUGCGAGCGUUGUCCGGAAUCACUGGGCGUAAAGGGCGCGUAGGUGGCGGCCCAAGUCAACGGUGAAAGCUCGGCGCUCAACGCCGAGUCGGCCGUCGAUACUGGGUUGCUUGAGCACUGUAGGGGCCAAUGGAAUUCCGGGUGUAGCGGUGGAAUGCGUAGAGAUCCGGAAGAACACCGGUGGCGAAAGCGCUCUGCUAGGCCGCAACUGACACUGAGGGACGAAAGCUAGGGGAGCGAAUGGG
rnacentral:rRNA from 1 species